rnacentral:lncRNA from 1 species
GAAACACGACGCAACUUUCGAGUAACUUUGGGGUAAAAAUAGCUUUAAAAUCACGCGAAAAUCUCGCCGAUCUAAAUACGCUCGCCGCUCACGGCCAUUACAGAGCAAUCGCAUGUACUCCAUGUAUGUUCUACGUCAUAAACAUAUGAGAGUUUGACGGGAGUAACGGCCGGUAACCCCGUUUCCUACGCCUAGAAACACGACGCAACUUUCGAGUAACUUUGGGGUAAAAAUAGCUUUAAAAUCACGCGAAUAUCUCGCCGAUCUAAAUACGCUCGCCGCUCACGGCCAUUACAGAGCAAUCGCAUGUACUCCAUGUAUUUUCUACGUCAUAAACAUAUGAGAGUUUGACGGGAGUAACGGCCGGUAACCCCGUUUCCUA